UCCGCUGUAGUCUAGAGGUUAGGAUACCUGGCUUUCAAUGAUUAUUGACAGAUCCCAGGCGGCCCGGGGUAAGUUCCUUAUCACCUCUAAUCCAAGGUAAAAUAUACUAACAAGCCAAAGUUCGAACCCCGGCAGCGGAA